rnacentral:rRNA from 1 species
CUACGGGCCGCUGCAGUGGGGAAUAUUGCACAAUGGGCGCAAGCCUGAUGCAGCAACGCCGCGUGAGGGAUGAAGGCCUUCGGGUUGUAAACCUCUUUUAGCAGGGAAGAAGCGAAAGUGACGGUACCUGCAGAAAAAGCACCGGCUAACUACGUGCCAGCAGCCGCGGUAAUACGUAGGGUGCAAGCGUUGUCCGGAAUUAUUGGGCGUAAAGAGCUCGUAGGCGGUUUGUCACGUCGGCUGUGAAAAUCCAAGGCUCAACCUUGGACUUGCAGUGGGUACGGGCAGGCUAGAGUGCGGUAGGGGAGAUGGGAAUUCCUGGUGUAGCGGUGGAAUGCGCAGAUAUCAGGAGGAACACCAAUGGCGAAGGCACAUCUCUGGGCCGUAACUGACGCUGAGGAGCGAAAGCGUGGGGAGCGAACAGGAUUAGAGACCCCCGUAGUC